UACGGGGGGGGCAAGCGUUGUUCGGAAUUACUGGGCGUAAAGGGCUCGUAGGUGGUCAACUAAGUCGGACGUGAAAUCCCUCAGCUUAACUGGGGAACUGCGUCCGAUACUGGAUGGCUUGAGUUUGGGAGAGGGAUGCGGAAUUCCAGGUGUAGCGGUGAAAUGCGUAGAUAUCUGGAGGAACACCGGUGGCGAAGGCGGCGUUCUGGACUGUAACUGACACUGAGAAACGAAAGCCAGGGUAGCAAACGGG
rnacentral:rRNA from 1 species